rnacentral:misc_RNA from 1 species
UGCAACUUGAAUGAGUGUAUAUGCAGCAUGAAUGCAGAAAAUUUUUUAGAUACCAGCCUAAAACUGAGAAAAAUGUCCAGACAACUAUUUUUUUAUGCGGGCCAGUCAGACAGAAGAAUACAGUCACGAGUCAUGACUACCAACUUCACAGAAAAAGCUAUAGCAAAUAUAGAUAAUUAAAUGAGAAAAAGAUUAAAGACAACGAAGAUAUGUAACACAUCUGGCCAACAUCUGGCACUUGCAGACCACAAGACACCUCAUCAAGUGUGGCUGAAAAGGGAAUAUCCAUGCAGGCAAAAUGACACUCACAUGCAGUCCAUCUGUUCUGAUGUA